rfam:Myotis lucifugus cont2.55385, whole genome shotgun sequence.
GGCAGUUCUCAGGUGAUGCACCCUGGAAUUUGGCUUCCUCCUCUGGUUCUAGAGUGCAUACCUGAGAUCCGCU